CGAUGAAAGACGUGAUAGCCUGCGAAAAGCUCCGGGGAGGCGGCAAAUAUCCUUUGAUCCGGAGAUGUCUGAAUGGGGGAACCCACCUACUUUAAGGUAGGUAUUGCAACAUGAAUACAUAGUGUUGCAAGGCGAACGAGGGGAAGUGAAACAUCUCAGUACCCUUAGGAAAAGAAAUCAAUUGAGAUUCCCUCAGUAGCGGCGAGCGAACGGGGAUCAGCCCAUUAAGUUAUGUGUGUUUUAGUGGAACGCUCUGGGAAGUGCGAACGUAGAGGGUGAUAUUCCCGUACACGAAAGGGCACACAUAAUGAUGACGAGUAGGGCGAGGCACGUGAAACCUUGUCUGAAUAUGGGGGGACCAUCCUCCAAGGCUAAAUACUCCUGACUGACCGAUAGUGAACCAGUACCGUGAGGGAAAGGCGAAAAGAACCCCUGUGAGGGGAGUGAAAUAGAUCCUGAAACCGCAUGCAUACAAGCAGUGGGAGCACCUUCGUGGUGUGACUGCGUACCUUUUGUAUAAUGGGUCAGCGACUUAUAUUCAGUAGCGAGGUUAACCGUAUAGGGGAGCCGUAGAGAAAUCGAGUCUUAAUAGGGCGUUUAGUUGCUGGGUAUAGACCCGAAACCAGGCGAUCUAUCCAUGAGCAGGUUGAAGGUUGGGUAACACUAACUGGAGGACCGAACCCACUGUCGUUGAAAAGCCAGGGGAUGACUUGUGGAUAGGGGUGAAAGGCUAAUCAAGCCUGGUGAUAGCUGGUUCUCCCCGAAAGCUAUUUAGGUAGCGCCUCGGACGAAUACCAUAGGGGGUAGAGCACUGUUUCGGCUAGGGGGUCAUCCCGACUUACCAAACCGAUGCAAACUCCGAAUACCUAUGAGUACUAUCCGGGAGACAGACUGCGGGUGCUAACGUCCGUAGUCAAGAGGAAAACAAUCCAGACCGCCAGCUAAGGCCCCAAAAUCAUAGUUAAGUGGGAAACGAUGUGGGAAGGCAUAGACAGCUAGGAGGUUGGCUUAGAAGCAGCCACCCUUUAAAGAAAGCGUAAUAGCUCACUAGUCGAGUCGGCCUGCGCGGAAGAUGUAACGGGGCUAAAACUAUGUGCCGAAGCUGCGGAUGUAGGUAGGGGAGCGUUCUGUAAGCCGAUGAAGGUGUGUUGAGAAGCAUGCUGGAGGUAUCAGAAGUGCGAAUGCUGACGUGAGUAACGACAAAACGGGUGAAAAACCCGUUCGCCGAAAGACCAAGGGUUCCAGUCCAACGUUAAUCGGGGCUGGGUGAGUCGACCCCUAAGGCGAGGCCGAAAGGCGUAGUCGAUGGGAAAAUGGUUAAUAUUCCAUUACUUCUGUGUAAUGCGAUGAGAGGACGGAGAAGGCUAAAUCAGCCUGGCGUUGGUUGUCCAGGUGAAAGGAUGUAGGCAUGUAUCUUAGGCAAAUCCGGGGUACUCUAUGCUGAGAUCUGAUAGCAAGCUGUACUUGUACAGCGAAGUGGUUGAUGCCAUGCUUCCAGGAAAAGUCUCUAAGCUUCAGUUACACAGGAAUCGUACCCGAAACCGACACAGGUGGUCAGGUCGAGUAGACCAAGGCGCUUGAGAGAACUCUGCUGAAGGAACUAGGCAAAAUGGUACCGUAACUUCGGGAGAAGGUACGCUGUUGUUGGUGAUGGAACUCGCUUCCUGAGCUGACGACAGCCGCAGAAACCAGGCCGCUGCAACUGUUUAUUAAAAACAUAGCACUCUGCAAACACGAAAGUGGACGUAUAGGGUGUGAUGCCUGCCCGGUGCUGGAAGGUUAAUUGAUGGGGUUAGCGUAAGCGAAGCUCUUGAUCGAAGCCCCAGUAAACGGCGGCCGUAACUAUAACGGUCCUAAGGUAGCGAAAUUCCUUGUCGGGUAAGUUCCGACCUGCACGAAUGGCAUAAUGAUGGCGGCGCUGUCUCCAGCAGAGGCUCAGUGAAAUCGAAAUCGCUGUGAAGAUGCAGUGUACCCGCGGCUAGACGGAAAGACCCCGUGAACCUUUACUGCAGCUUGACACUGAACUUUGACCUUACUUGUGUAGGAUAGGUGGGAGGCUUUGAAGCUGGAACGCUAGUUCCAGUGGAGCCGUCCUUGAAAUACCACCCUGGUAAUGUUGAGGUUCUAACUCUGUCCCGUGAUCCGGGACGAGGACCGUGUCUGGUGGGUAGUUUGACUGGGGCGGUCUCCUCCUAAAGAGUAACGGAGGAGUACGAAGGUGCGCUCAGCGUGGUCGGAAAUCACGCGUAGAGUAUAAAGGCAAAAGCGCGCUUAACUGCGAGACCCACAAGUCGAGCAGGUACGAAAGUAGGUCUUAGUGAUCCGGUGGUUCUGUAUGGAAGGGCCAUCGCUCAACGGAUAAAAGGUACUCUGGGGAUAACAGGCUGAUACCGCCCAAGAGUUCAUAUCGACGGCGGUGUUUGGCACCUCGAUGUCGGCUCAUCUCAUCCUGGGGCUGAAGCAGGUCCCAAGGGUAUGGCUGUUCGCCAUUUAAAGAGGUACGCGAGCUGGGUUUAGAACGUCGUGAGACAGUUCGGUCCCUAUCUACCGUGGGCGCUGGAAAUUUGAGAGGAUCUGCUCCUAGUACGAGAGGACCAGAGUGGACGAACCUCUGGUGUACCGGUUGUGACGCCAGUCGCAUCGCCGGGUAGCUAUGUUCGGAAGGGAUAACCGCUGAAAGCAUCUAAGCGGGAAGCCUACCUCAAGAUAAGAUUUCCCUAGGACUUUAUGUCCUCUAAAGAGCCGUUCGAGACUAGGACGUUGAUAGGUUGGAUGUGGAAGCAUAGUGAUAUGUGAAGCUGACCAAUACUAAUUGCUCGUGAGGCUUGACUAUACAACACCCAAGCAGUUG
rnacentral:rRNA from 1 species